GAGAGGAACGAAGCGUCGCGUCGCGUCGCAUUGCCGGUGAAAAACGGAUGGAGGAAACAAGUGAUGGCUAAUCGUCGGCUGAAAGAAUCGCGAAUCUGGCAGAGGUCGAUACACCCCUGUUCCUACUCGGAUUCUGCCAUCUCGACCGUCCCUGCGCGGUUCAGCCGCGCACACAUGGAUUGGCGCAUACGUACGCAAAAAUUGUAAGAGAAAGAAAGAGAAGAAAAAAAGGGUGUGCGCGAGAAGACGAGGAGAGACACGGGAAAAAGAGCGAGAUGUUCCAACAAAAUGAAGAAGAAAAAUAGAGAAGCUUGCUGAAAGGAGCGAGAGAAAAGAGAUACAUACGCGAGAAAGGUGGAAGACGAGUGGACAGUGUGAUGUAUAUACGUAUAAGAAAACUUUGAAACGAGGCGAACGGAUGGCGAAGGGUGGUCUACCAUACGGAGAGUACAGAGAGUUGGCUCACUGGAGAGAAAGUAAGACAAAUAAAUGGCGUUAGUGUGAUCACGUACUCGAAGAUCCUCUGGGACGAUAGGAAGAAGAGAAAGAGAAAAAGAGCUUCAAAUAACGGAGUUGUAAGGGUUAAGGACGAGGAGAAUCAAGGGACAGCAAUGGAUAGGAACAUAACGAUCGACAAAGAAUGUAGCGGUGCGGAUAAAUGAGAGACAGAGAAAGAAACUGAGAGAGGGAGAGCCUGAAAGAGAGCGAAAGAGAGAGAGAGAGAGAGAGAGAGAGAGAGAGAGAGAAAAGGAUGAGGGCAAAUUUAUAGCCCCGGCGCGCUUGCAUCCUCGAAAAUUCGACAAGGACGUAGUCCAAAGAGAAAAACAAAACGUUUCGAACGAAGUUGAGGUGCGGAUAAUGUGAGACGGCUAAAAGAAGCGGAGCGAUUUAUGGGCGGAAUAUUAAAACUGAAGAGAAAUAAAUAUCCGUAAUACGCUUUUCGCGAAGGUUUAUCAGAGCUUAUGUGUGUGCAAGAGAGCGAAAAUUGAAAACGAUUCAAAUUAACCGACAUAAGGAAAAAUUAUUUUUAGUAAAUGAGCAAGAGGCUAAACGUAACUGAAAUGGAGAAAAAGAGAGAGAGAGAGAGAGAGAGAGGGAGGGAGGGAAAGAACGUUUUCAUAUCGACGAAAAUGAGACAAAUAAAUAGCAUAAUUGUGUGUGAGCGAGUUGACAGAGAAGAAGCAUUCGGGAUCAGGAAGUGAAUCCAAAUAGGAUGAAAAGAUAAACAGUAUCACGGUAGAGAACAGCGUAAUUGAUGCGAAUAAAUGGAUAUUAAAGCGUAAAACAACGAUCAAAGCAAGACAAUCGAAUCCUUGCGCGUUCUCGGUUGGAAAAUUGGAAGAACUGCACUGAAAAGAUCAUGAUGUCACGACUGGCGUGGAAACGGUGAAAGAUAGUCACGUUAAACAAGGGCAAUGCCACGGCAAAAAAGAGAUUACAUUGGGAAUGAAUAUCGAAUCAAUAUUUGCAGCAAGAUAUAUACUCUCUUCACUUAUCCAACGGGGAACGAAUCAAUCACAUAGUUUUUACAUUUUAAUGAAUUUUGUUCUAUGUACAGAAUAGUCCAGAUAUAUUUCUGGUAAUUGUUUGCAAAAGAAAUCAAUCGAAGAAACGUUCGACUUUAAAAUUGGCCAAAACGAUGGCAGGAGAUUUCAAGUUUAAAUAAAGUUUUUUCGAAAAAUUAACCCCAGUAAAUAACAGAGUAAAGAAAAAUAAUGAUGCAGCUGAAAUGAGUAUCGAGUGGGAAGGUCUUGAAAGACUGAAACGAUUAAAUAACGAAAGAUGAAAGAUGUGAAAGGGAUAUCUCAAGGUGUAUGUGGAAACAUAUAUCAGCUUAGAUGUCUGCGUGCGAACGCAAUACGCACACAGGGGCGCCCUCUACUGUGACGUCACAAGGGCGGGGUUCUCUCGUUAAAGGCACUCUGCUUGCAUCGUCGCUCAGCGAAAGGGUGUGCAACAUGUGGGAUGAGGUUGAUGGUGUGCUGGUCGACCGACAGGCACAUCGUCGCCAGUAUCGUCCUGAAAAGUAAUGUCGCUCUAAGAACAUUCCCUUGCCCUUCGGCAAGUAGUUGCGACGACGCUUUGCUGUCAAGGGUGAAAAGUGGGCCACACGUGUUGUCGUUAUUCUCGGGAAAUACAGACAUACCUCACAAACCUCAGACUAUUAUCCCGCGGUUUCUCUUCAUUCUUUGUUACUACUUAAUGGCGAAUUAAAUACAGCCAUUGCUUCUGCAGGGGAAAAAUGUCCGCAAAAAGGUUUUGAUCCGCCCGGUAGUUACGGCACUUAAAGAGCGCGAGAAUCAGAGUUAAUAGCAGAUGCUUUGAAUGUGCGCACCCUGCCGCAUUUUAUGAAGUCAUUAAGAGGUUAUUGCGGGGUGACAUUUUCACGUAUAGAAUAUAUUACUUUAACACUGCUUUGUUAUGUUUGCUACGGUCGAAAAUUCACUUUGAUUAAAUAAAAUCCUUCGGAAUAUCUUUUAAAAAAUAAUUAUUAUACGAAAAUAUUUCUGUUAUAAACAUGAAAUUGUUAUAGAGGCAACAUUUUCGAGCUCAAGAACGAAAUGUCACGUAUAAUUUGGAUCGCGUUUGGUCGCGAUUUUGACAUAAUGGAACUCAAAUGCGAUAAGACGGCCGAACACAAGGCAUUUGCCGUAAAUGCACGUAACAAUUUUUUCUGCAGCGAAAAAGAGCGGUUCUCCGCGUCUAAUGAUAUUUCUACCUGCAUUCGACAGCAAGUACUGGGUACAUGGUUCAUGCAUCUAUCCGAAAUUCUAAAUUAUCAUCUGAAAUUUGAAAAGCUUUAAUUUUCAAUCUUUUAUCCGCACGCUAAGUUAAAAGAAUAUAUCGCGAUAGAAUAUUAGAUGUACCUAGUAUGUCAUACGUACGAAAAAACGCAUACAGAUCGAGAGACGGAUCCAUAAUAGAAAUCCCGUUUAGCAGAAUGUUUGAGAUUCUUAGAACGGACGGCGACUUAUGUACACGUCACGAGAAAGCGCAAUCGGUCGGUUACAGAGGUAUCGAGUCUUGCGAUCGACUACGAUCUGGUCGUUCUACGAGAGGAACUACGAAGAGGUAUGUUGGAAAAUCCUUAGUGCAUCCCCACGGAACUACGACUAAAGAUCGAUCACGAUCGCACCCACGAAACAGGCAUCGUCGAGCUCGACGAUCGCGGUGCAAUUGCGGAAGUAAAUUCUGUAGUAGAGGGAAACGGAUGAUUUGUUUCGAGUGUGUGUCGGAAGCUUCGAGACAUAGGGAUGCAAUAAUGGAUCUAGAGAGAUAGAUAGAAAGAGAAA